GAAAGGAAAAGGGAUCUGUGGGCACCCAGAGCAGGCCAGGGGUGGGGGUGGGGAGCCGGGCCCCUGAGUGGGUAGUAUGCGUUUCCAGGGGCUCAGAUCUGAUGAUCCCAUCCUUGGCUCCACAAAUUCAAUCCAUGCCCCUUAGCUUGGCAUUCGAGGCCUUUCCUUCAUCUGGCUUCAGCCCCUGCUUCUCUCUGGCUUACAUCCAGGUUUCUGCUCACAUUGUUCCCUAUGCCCACAAUGCCCUUUCCUCCCAUCCUAAGAGAUCCAAUGCCCAAACUCUGGUCAUCCUUCAAGGCCCAGCCCAGAUGCCUCCUCCUCCAUGAAGCCUUCCUUGACCCCCUCAGCUGGACAUGACAUCUCCCUCUUCUGAAUUCCCACAGCCCUUGGUUCAUACUUCUCUGAGGGCGUAUUCCAUUCUCCCACCAGCAGCAGACCUUGGUUGUGACCCUACCCAGCAUCCUUCCUCCUUCUGAUCAAAACACUCCAAUAUUCCAUGAGAAAUAUCUGUCGCCCACCUUCAGACAUGUGGUCCAGAAGAAGCUGAUUCCACUCCCAGGAUCCAGAGAGGCUCAUAAGGCCCAGGCCUCGAAGUCGGAGUAGCCCAUCUUUUCUCCUACCCCCUCCACUUCUGAACCCUGUGCUUGCUAUGGGAUCAGUUCAGGAUCAGAUGGCAGAAUCGCAAGAGCUCCGCAUCCCCAGGGACUCAUCUGAAAGACAAUGUGAAGCAAAGACAAUGUGAGGCGUGGGGAGACUUCCAGCCUGUUGGUCAGAGUUUGCCUCAUGACCCCACCCUGACUGCACGGAAGGCUGGGAAGUGUGGAGGAGGACAUGAGUAGUCAAUGAGCAUUGAGUGCCUCUGCCAUGCUGGGUAUCCCAGGGGAAGAGGAGACACAGGCACAGAGGACUGGAGGACUUUGAGGCUGGAUAUCUAGGUUCAAACCCAAGCUCUUCUAGAAUGACUAGAAGCUAUGUGACCUUGGGAAAAUUACUAAAUGUCUCUGAGUCUUGCUUUUCUCCUGUGCCAAACGGGGAUAAAAUAAGAGUUCCUACCUCACGAGGUUGUUGGGAAGAUAAAUCAGACCAUGCUUAUAAAAAGAGCUAGUGGUGCCCAGCACAAGGUUGGCAUUUGUAUUAGUCUGCUUUCACGCUGCUAAUAAAGACAUAUCCAAGACUGGGUAAUUUAUAAAGAAAAAGA